AGCAGCCGCGGUAAUUCCAGCUCCAAUAGCGUAUAUUAAAGUUGUUGCAGUUAAAAAGCUCGUAGUUGAAUUUCGAGGUCAGUAGGUUGGUCGUGCCUUCGGUAUGUACUGGUCUCACUGAUUCCUCCUUCUUGAAGAUCCGUAAUGUCAUUAAUUUGGUGUUGCGGGGAAUCAGGACUGUUACUUUGAAAAAUUAGAGUGUUUAAAGCAGGCUAACGCUUGAAUACAUUAGCAUGGAAUAAUGAAAUAGGACGUUUGAUCCUAUUUUGUUGGUUUCUAGGAUUGACGUAAUGAUUAAUAGGGAUAGUUGGGGGCAUUAGUAUUCAAUUGUCAGAGGUGAAAUUCUUGGAUUUAUUGAAGACUAACUACUGCGAAAGCAUUUGCCAAGGAUGUUUUCAUUAAUCAAGAACGAAAGUUAGGGGAUCGAAGACGAUCAGAUACCGUCGUAGUCUUAACCAUAAACUAUGCCGACUAGGGAUCGGAUGAUGUUAAUUUUUUAAUGACUCAUUCGGCGCCUUAC
rnacentral:rRNA from 1 species